rnacentral:rRNA from 1 species
UACGUAGGGUCCGAGCGUUAAUCGGAAUUACUGGGCGUAAAGCGUGCGCAGGCGGUUUUGUAAGCCAGAUGUGAAAGCCCCGGGCUUAACCUGGGAAUGGCAUUUGGGACUGCAAGGCUGGAGUACGGCAGAGGAGACUGGAAUUCCUGGUGUAGCAGUGAAAUGCGUAGAUAUCAGGAGGAAUACCGAUGGCGAAGGCAGGUCUCUGGGCUAACACUGACGCUCAUGCACGAAAGCGUGGGGAGCAAACAGG